AUUGAACGCUGGCGGCAUGCUUUACACAUGCAAGUCGAACGGUAACAGGCCGCAAGGUGCUGACGAGUGGCGAACGGGUGAGUAAUGCAUCGGUACGUGCCCAGUCGUGGGGGAUAACUACUCGAAAGAGUAGCUAAUACCGCAUACGAUCUAUGGAUGAAAGCGGGGGACCGUAAGGCCUCGCGCGAUUGGAGCGGCCGAUGUCAGAUUAGGUAGUUGGUGGGGUAAAGGCUCACCAAGCCAACGAUCUGUAGCUGGUCUGAGAGGACGACCAGCCACACUGGGACUGAGACACGGCCCAGACUCCUACGGGAGGCAGCAGUGGGGAAUUUUGGACAAUGGGCGCAAGCCUGAUCCAGCAAUGCCGCGUGCAGGAAGAAGGCCUUCGGGUUGUAAACUGCUUUUGUACGGAACGAAACGGCUCUGGUUAAUACCCGGGGCUAAUGACGGUACCGUAAGAAUAAGCACCGGCUAACUACGUG
rnacentral:rRNA from 1 species